AUAUCCUUCUUAUUUCCUAUUGGUUAUCAUUGAGGGAUUACAAUCCAAACCCUUGGUUAGAAUGAAUAUAAUGGAUGUGAUUUCUAAACUUUUUUGUUCUUCCACACCUUCUCAAUUUUGUGAUGUAUAUUUCAAAUUUGCAAUAUUAUUCAUAACAAAUAAAGUUUGCUUAUCAUGUACAUUUGAUUAUUACAAAUAUAUAUGUUGUUUUUAUUGGUUUUUAGUUUUCUUAGAGAUUAUAGUAUAGGGUUUGGAAUUGAUUACAAGACAAAAACAAUGUUAUAGUUUUUAAGGGUUUAGAGUUUGUUUUUAGUUGGUCACUAGCUUUGUUGUAGUUUUAAGGGUUGUUGUUUUAGGGGUUAUAGUUUAGAGGUUAUAUAGUUUAGGGGUUAUAGUUUUAUGGGUAGAUUGUAGCUUUGUUAUAGUUUUAGGGGUUAUAAGUUAUAUAGUAUAUAAUUUAUAGUUUAUGGGUUACAUAUUUGGAUUUACAUAUACUUAAUUUAAUGUUAAAUAUGUUUCAUAAUAGUGUAAAAACAUUUUGGCUCCAUUAUUUAGAUUUUGGUUCCAUUUUUUGCCUCCUUUAUUUGGGCCAAAUAUUACUAAAGUAUCUUAUCUCUUUAACACUUAACGCAUUUUCACAGCUAAGCAAAAAAAACCCGAGUCUCUUUCUCCGAUCCCUCUCACAAACUCAUCGUCUCUUCGUCUCAAUCUCUCCUCCGCCAUGUUUACCGGUCAGUUUCUUCACGGCUUCCACUAGACAAACCUCUAACCGUCGUCGUCCACGGCCAGCUGAGUUAAAUCUCUUGGGUAAUUUCUAUUCUCAGCUCUUUCUUAGGCUUUCGAUUUGGGGUUUCUUAGGUGUGGGUUUUGAUUUGGCUUGACUAUCUGUUUCUGGGUUAGGGUUUCAAUUUUUGUUGACUAAUAUGUUUCUGUAUCAAUUAUCUCUGAUUAAGUUCUUGAUUAGGGUUUCAAUUCGAUUUGGGGGUUUCUUUCUUAGGGUUUUAAUUUUGGUUGACUAUCCGACUAAUCUUCUCUGUUUAUUUUCUGUCUGAUUUAUAUUGUCUCUGUCUAUCUUAUUUAUCUUCUGUCUGAUUUAUAUUGUCUAUGGUCUUGACUAUUAUUUAUCUUGUCUCUGGUGUCAUAGUCUUAUUAUAGUAGCUAGUUUAUAUUGUUAAUAGUCUCUGUGUUACUAUUUCGUUUUCUGUGUAUUGGUUCUUUGUGUUAUGGUUUAUGUGUUAUGAGGCUGGAAGAGGAGGAGAGAGCUCGGAGGCAGUGUCUGCGAGUGAUGAGAUGUUGUUGUAUAGAGGUUUUGAGAAGCCGAAAGAGAGAGACUGCACAGCUAAGAAGUGUGUCAGUAAAAUGAGCCAGAGCUGUCUUUAUGGCUGCGUUUUUGCACUCUGAUUUCAAGUUCGAGGGAACUUCGUGAAGCCUCUGAAGAAACAAGAGGAAAUGUGGGAGACAAACAUGAACUGGCUACUCACAAAAUUAAGCUAUGGUAUCUGACCUUUGUGGGUUCUUCCUUAAGGUUGGACAAAUUCUAGGCAAACUUGACAUGGCUCCAUCUGCAUGGGUGCGACUCAUCGACACUUCAUAUGUAUUACACGGUUUUUUUUUCAGCUUAAACUUUUGUUAGGUAAACAAAUUUUAGGCUUGUAUGAUGCUUUUUCUAACAUUUGCUUGUAAUACCUGAGGGUUAUGAAUCUGAGAUUUAUUUUUAUAAUAUAUUUUAUGUAUUUAUUUUUUA